GCCUUCUUAGCUCAGUGGUAGAGCGUUGGUCUCGUAUAGACGAAAUAAGACAACCAAAGGUCGAGAGUUCAAUCCUCUCAGGAGGCA
rnacentral:tRNA from 1 species